GUGCACCAGUCGCGAAACCUCCGCAAUACACGAAAGUGUGACGGGGCCAUCCCGAGUGCCGUCCGCUGAGGACGGCUUUUCCCCAGUGUACACAGCUGGGGGAAUAAGGAGAGGGCAAGCCUGGUGUCAGCCGCCGCGGUAAUACCAGCUCUCCGAGUGGUGGGGACGCUUAUUGGGUCUAAAGCAUCCGUAGCCGGCUGGGCAAGUCCUCCGUUAAAUCCAACGAUUCAAUCGUUGGGCUGCGGGGGAUACUGUCCAGCUUGGGGGCGGGAGAGGCCGACGGUAUUCCCGGGGUAAGGGUGAAAUCCUAUAAUCCCGGGAGGACCACCAGUGGCGAAGGCUGUCGGCUAGAACGCGCCCGACGGUGAGGGAUGAAAGCUGGGGGAGCGAACCGGAUUAGAUACCCCGUAGU
rnacentral:rRNA from 1 species